CAGAUUUGCGGCAGGACGUUGAUGGAGCCAAGUCAAGCUUAGAGGCGUCCAAGGCUGCCAUAAAGGAAACCAAGGCCGACUGAGCAAUGUGCAGGAGUGCUUUCAUGGCGAUAGAAGCUGCCUCGACAUCAACCGUGCAAGUUCGAGACACUGCCCGUGCCAUGGACUUGCCAAGGCCAAAGGAAUACAACGGAGCUCGAGAC
rnacentral:lncRNA from 1 species